rnacentral:snRNA from 1 species
UUGCCCUUCAGCAGCACAUACACUAACAUUGGAACAAUAUAGAGAAGAUUAGCAUGGCCCCUGCAAAAGGAUGACACACAAAUUCAUGAAGUGUUCCAAAAUUUA